rnacentral:lncRNA from 1 species
GUUUUUUAUAGUAAGAUAAGAUUAAAAUAGUUUAAGGUAAUGUAAUGACAGAAUUUUAUGAAAUAUGGAAAGGAUUUGCUGCAACAAUUAACAACUAGGAUACAAAAAAAGGGAGGAGGAGGAGGUCAAAGAAAGAAGGUAAUGACAGUUGAGGAUUUGAGAAUAAUGGAUUUGUUUUUAAAAGUUUGUGGUGUAUUUUUGUUUUUUUUUUGAAUUUGUAUUGUUGGAUGUGGUUUGUGUUUUUCUUUGUUCUUUCCUUUUCUUUGUUCUUUCUUUGUUUUUUUUCUACUUUGUUUUCUUUUGUAACUCUAAAUUCCCCCCCCCAAUAAAUAUCAUUUUUUUAAAAAAAAAGUCAGAGCCCAGCUGUACAGGGCUACCAGGGCAGCAUGUGUGCGCCCUUGAAGCAAUGCACUUGCCCCAGGCAACAGUACCAUAUGCUCUACCACUGUCUAGUUCUUUAAGAAUGCACUGGAUGAUAUUCCAAGUCACCAACCCUUAAGAGAGCUGGAACACACACACACACACACACACACACACACACACACACACACACACACACCAUUUAUAGUCUCUGCAGGCUUUAGUCUUUUCUGAAAUCUUGAAAGUUUCAGAGCUGAUUUUCAGAAGGGUGAAUUUAGUGGAUGAAGUCAGUCCCAGCAAUAAUCACUGCAGGUUCUGGGGAGCAUGAAAGCAAAAGUAUAUACAACCCACCCGCACCCGACUUACCAGGCAAAGGACAAGAAUAAUUGGUAUGUAACCUACAGCUGCAUAUCACUUAAACAAGGAUAUGUGGGAAAUCCAGCCUCAUAUAAACAGCAUGCGUAGCAUGAAGGAGUUAAAACCAUAGAGUAAGCUAUUUUUGCUAGACUUGACUGGGUCAUACCCCCUCACCUUGGGAUGAAGGAGGUGAAGUUUCUUUGUUCGCUCCUCUUCCAUUAUGUGAAUCUGGCCAGGGAGGACACCUGGGCUUGUCACUCCAAGCCCACACCACGUGUUUAGAAACCAUGCUAUCAGAUUUUUCAACUAAGUUUUUCUGCCUGUGUUUUUCUUUCUAGUUUUCUAUGGAAAACUACAUGAAUCUGAUCUUUGGAAACUUUGUAAAUCUUUUUAAACUUACCAAACUGUGUGGCCUUUUCUAUGCUAACAGGAAACAAAGGGAAGCUUUGUAAGUGAGUUAAAGUGGGAUAUUUUAAAGGUCUAACAGUCUACAUUCCCAUGCUUUACUUUGCUGCAUGUUUCAUUAUUUUAAAUCUCUGCUGGGCUUACUGACUGGAGAGGGCUUGCCCAGUGUCUGGCUCUAUGCAUCCAGGAAAUUAUUAUUUUAUAAUAACCAAAUACCAAUAGGUUACACAUGCUCCGAGAGAGAGCUGAAGCAGGGAGUGGGCACCAUUAUGGGAAACUAGGUUAUAUUACCUUAGAAUAGUUAGGAAUGAUGUCUGUUGUGUCCUUUCUGUAGGCCUUGAGUCCUUGGAAACGGUUAAGUUUAAUGUUGCUCAGAUUUAUUUAUUUUUGUCUAAUUAUGGUGUUCUUUUUUUAAGCACCUGCAAUUAUUUUUCUGGCAUCUAUUUGAAGAUCACAGUGAAAGCUGAGAUGGAAGGGCAGACACAGACUGAGGCAGCAAAACCCAGCUUAAGAGAG